rnacentral:piRNA from 1 species
UGCACAGGUCAGGUGAGUGGAUGGCCCUU